rnacentral:rRNA from 1 species
AUUGAACGCUGGCGGCAGGCCUAACACAUGCAAGUCGAGCGAGCGGCGGACGGGUGAGAAAUGUCGGGGAAACUGCCUGAUGGAGGGGGAUAACUACUGGAAACGGUAGCUAAUACCGCAAACCAUCAGAGGUGCCCAUAUGGGAUUAGCUUGUAGGUGGGGUAACGGCUCACCGAGGCGACGAUCCCUAGCUGGUCUGAGAGGAUGACCAGCCACACUGGAACUGACCCCCGCGCCAGCCUCCUCCGGGAGGCAGCAGUGCGGACUAUUGCCCACUCGGCGCAAGCCUGAUGCAGCCAUCCCGCGUGUGUGAAUAAGGCCUUCCGGUUGUAAAGCACUUUCAGCGUGGCGGCGUUCCCCGCAGAAGAAUCACCGGCUAACUCCGUGCCAGCCGCCGCGGUAAUAC